GGUGGCUCAGUGGUAGAGUGCUUGCUUUGCAAGCAUGAGGCCCUGGGUUCGAUUCCUCAGCACCA
rfam:Dipodomys ordii contig_39541, whole genome shotgun sequence.